CAWUUUUUUUGGCACGAGUUGUAGAGUGUAGGCGGGAGUCUUUGUGGAGCACGGUGUCCAAGUCCCUUGGAACAGGGCGCCUGAGAGGGUGAGAGCCCCGUGGGGUGYCGUGCGAAGCUUUGAGGCCCUGCUGACGAGUCGAGUUGUUUGGGAAUGCAGCUCCAAGUGGGUGGUAAAUUCCAUCUAAGGCUAAAUACUGGCGAGAGACCGAUAGCGAACAAGUACUGUGAAGGAAAGAUGAAAAGCACUUUGAAAAGAGAGUGAAACAGCACGUGAAAUUGUUGAAAGGGAAGGGUAUUGGGCCCGACAUGGGGAGUGCGCACCGCUGUCUCUUGUAGGCGGCGCUCUGGGCGCUCUCUGGGCCAGCAUCGGUUCUUGCUGCGGGAGAAUGGGUGCCGGAAAGUGGCUCUUCGGAGUGUUAUAGCCGGCGCCAGAUACCGCGUGCGGGGACCGAGGACUGCGGCUUCUGUCUCGGAWUGCUGGCACAACGGCGCAAUACCGCCCGUCUUGAAACACGGACC
rnacentral:rRNA from 1 species